UACAGAGGUCCCAAGCGUUGUUCGGAUUCACUGGGCGAAAGGGUGCGUAGGCGGCCGGGUAAGUCUGAUGUGAAAUCUCACAGCUUAACUGUGAAACUGCAUUGGAUACUAUCCGGCUCGAGGAAUGGAGGGGAGACUGGAAUACUUGGUGUAGCAGUGAAAUGCGUAGAUAUCAAGUGGAACACCAGUGGCGAAGGCGAGUCUCUGGACAUUUCCUGACGCUGAGGCACGAAAGCCAGGGGAGCAAACGGG
rnacentral:rRNA from 1 species